rnacentral:rRNA from 1 species
UACGAAGGGGCUAGCGUUGUUCGGAAUCACUGGGCGUAAAGCGCACGUAGGCGGAUGUGCCAGUCAGGGUGAAAUCCCGGAGCUCAACUUCGGAACUGCCUCUGAUACAGCACGUCUUGAGUCCGGAAGAGGUGGGUGGAAUUCCUAGUGUAGAGGUGAAAUUCGUAGAUAUUAGGAAGAACACCGGUGGCGAAGGCGGCCCACUGGUCCGGUACUGACGCUGAGGUGACGAAAGCGUGGGGAGCAAACAGG